rnacentral:lncRNA from 1 species
UAAAAGAGUAACAACGAGGGAACCGUACCCUCUCAGUUUUCUACGAGGCCGAAGUUUUGAAUUCGCAGAGAGGAGAAUCCGAGCAGAGAUUUCGACGUAGCUUCUUCGCAGGAUUGGAAGAAGCAACAGAAGAGUAACUCGGCGGAGAGGAGAGUGCGGCGCAGGUGCUGUAGAUUUACGCCUCUCGGGAUUCUCUCGGAGAUAGUGUGACCUAAUUCCGGCUCUUAACGAGUCUCCAGCGACUGAAGGAGAAGAAGAAGAAGAAGAAGAAACAUGGGAGAGCGGAAGGUUCUGAACAAGUACUAUCCUCCGGACUUCGAUCCGGCGAAGCUGCCACGCGCCCGCAGACCAAAGAAUCAGCAGAUUAAGGUCCGGAUGAUGCUUCCCAUGAGCAUCAGAUGCAACACCUGCGGUAAUUACAUCUACAUGGGGACGAAAUUCAACUCACGCAAAGAAGAUGUCGUCGGCGAGGUUCGCUAUUCUAUUCUCCUUCUUUUGUCAAUUUUUCUAGGGUUUAUUGUGAUCGAAGUCCUGGUUUGUUGCGUAUGGCGUUCUUAUUGUUGGUAUUAUUGUAUUUCUGCAGACGUAUUUGGGUAUACAAAUAUUUCGAUUCUACUUUAAGUGUACGAGAUGCUCGGCCGAGCUUGCGAUGAAGACUGAUCCUCAGAAUUCCGAUUACAUCGUGGAGAGCGGGGCGACGAGGAAUUAUGAGCCGUGGCGUAAAGAGGAUGAGGAAUUGGACGGCUUGAAACGGAAGAGAGAUGCUGAGGAGAUGGGUGAUGCGAUGAAGGCUUUGGAGAACAGGACGUUGGAUUCCAAACGGGAGAUGGAUACUUGAGGAUGAUACUAUGACUUAUUAGGCUUUUUUCAUAGGCAAAGUAGUUGUUUAUUGAAUUGUUAUCGUGUGUAUAUGAAAACUGUAAAUAUCAUUAUGAACAAAAAAUCAAGUAUUUCUUUUUCAGUAUACACCGCUAGUCACUAAUUCAACAGUUCUUCAAUCAUUCAAUUGCGAACUGAUCAAAUUGUAAGAGUUUCGACUUAGUUCAAGGAAGAUUUUGGAGUAGGAUUAGUACUUUAAGUAAGAUUAGUAGGUAGUUUUGGAGUAGGAUUAGUACUUGAUUUUGAUUUUUUAAAAUAAAAAAGGCUCCAAUGAUUAAUAAACAAAAGUAGACUGAUUGAUUUGUAAAAUAGACCAAAUUAGAUGAGCUAUAUAGUAAAAGAGUAACAACGAGGGAACCGUACCCUCUCAGUUUUCUACGAGGCCGAAGUUUUGAAUUCGCAGAGAGGAGAAUCCGAGCAGAGAUUUCGACGUAGCUUCUUCGCAGGAUUGGAAGAAGCAACAGAAGAGUAACUCGGCGGAGAGGAGAGUGCGGCGCAGGUGCUGUAGAUUUACGCCUCUCGGGAUUCUCUCGGAGAUAGUGUGACCUAAUUCCGGCUCUUAACGAGUCUCCAGCGACUGAAGGAGAAGAAGAAGAAGAAGAAGAAACAUGGGAGAGCGGAAGGUUCUGAACAAGUACUAUCCUCCGGACUUCGAUCCGGCGAAGCUGCCACGCGCCCGCAGACCAAAGAAUCAGCAGAUUAAGGUCCGGAUGAUGCUUCCCAUGAGCAUCAGAUGCAACACCUGCGGUAAUUACAUCUACAUGGGGACGAAAUUCAACUCACGCAAAGAAGAUGUCGUCGGCGAG